UGCAAUAUAUGCAGCAUCAUUUAGGAGUGUCAUAGGUUUUUUUUUUUUUUUUAGUAAUAAUCCAUCCAUUUGGAAUCCGAAAUUGUGAACAAAUGGAUAAUAUGAGAUUUCAAAUUUACAUUACAGCAAAAGACUCUUGUACUAAAUCACCUCAAUUAGUUUUCUUAAAUGAGUUGAGGUGUCAGGUUAAUUAUAUAUAGAAAAAUUG
rnacentral:lncRNA from 1 species